rnacentral:rRNA from 1 species
CAAUAAGCUAUCCACCUGGGGAGUACGGCCGCAAGGCUGAAACUCAAAGGAAUUGACGGGGCCCCGCACAAGCAGUGGAUUAUGUGGUUUAAUUCGAAGCAACGCGAAGAACCUUACCAGGGCUUGACAUGGAAAUGAAGUGUAUAGAGAUAUACAUGCCUUCGGGCAUUUCACACAGGUGGUGCAUGGUUGUCGUCAGCUCGUGUCGAGAGAUGUUGGGUUAAGUCCCGCAACGAGCGCAACCCUUAUUGUUAGUUGCUACGCGAGAGCACUCUAGCGAGACUGCCGUUGACAAAACGGAGGAAGGUGGGGACGAGGUCAAAUCAUCAUGCCCCUUAUGUCCUGGGCUACACACGUAAUACAAUGGCGUUAAACAGAGGGAAGCGAAGCUGCGAAGCGGAGCGAAUCCCAAAAAGGCGUCUCAGUUCGGAUCGCAGGCUGCAACCCGCCUGCGUGAAGUCGGAAUUGCUAGUAAUCGCGGAUCAGCACGCCGCGGUGAAUACGUUCCCGGGGCUUGUACACACCGCCCGUCACACCAUGAGAGUCGGGAACACCCGAAGCCUGUAGUCUAACCUGAGAAGGAGGGCGCAGUCGAAGGUGGGUUUGAUAAUUAGGGUGAAGUCGUAACAAGGUAGCCGUA